GACGAACGCUGGCGGCGUGCCUAAUACAUGCAAGUCGAGCGAAGUUUUUCUGGUGCUUGCACCGGAAAAACUUAGCGGCGAACGGGUGAGUAACACGUAAAGAACCUGCCUCAUAGACUGGGACAACUAUUGGAAACGAUAGCUAAUACCGGAUAACAGCAUUAACUGCAUGGUUGAUGUUUGAAAGUUGGUUUUGCUAACACUAUGAGAUGGCUUCGCGGUGCAUUAGCUAGUUGGUGGGGUAAAGGCCUACCAAGGCGACGAUGCAUAGCCGACCUGAGAGGGUGAUCGGCCACACUGGGACUGAGACACGGCCCAGACUCCUACGGGAGGCAGCAGUAGGGAAUCUUCCGCAAUGGGCGAAAGCCUGACGGAGCAACGCCGCGUGAGUGAAGAAGGAUUUCGGUUCGUAAAGCUCUGUUGUUAGGGAAGAAUGAUUAUGUAGUAACUAUACAUAGUAGGGACGGUACCUAACCAGAAAGCCACGGCUAACUACGUG
rnacentral:rRNA from 1 species